rfam:Myotis lucifugus cont2.15364, whole genome shotgun sequence.
GGCAGUUCUCGGGUGAUAUACCCUGGAAUUGGGCUCCCUCCUCUCUGGUUCUGAGUGUGUCACCCCAGAACCGCA